rnacentral:rRNA from 1 species
CACUGACGNUCAUGCACGAAAGCGCGGGGAGCAANCAGGAUUAGAUACCCUGGUAGUNCACGCCCUAAACGAUGUCAACUAGCUGUUGGGGCCUUCGGGCCUUGGUAGCGCAGCUAACGCGUGAAGUUGACCGCCUGGGGAGUACGGUCGCAAGAUUAAAACUCAAAGGAAUUGACGGGGACCCGCACAAGCGGUGGAUGAUGUGGAUUAAUUCGAUGCAACGCGAAAAACCUUACCUACCCUUGACAUGUCUGGAAUGCCGAAGAGAUUUGGCAGUGCUCGCAAGAGAACCGGAACACAGGUGCUACAUGGCUGUCGUCAGCUCGUGUCGUGAGAUGUUGGGUUAAGUCCCGCAACGAGCGCAACCCUUGUCAUUAGUUGCUACGAAAGGGCACUCUAAUGAGACUGCCGGUGACAAACCGGAGGAAGGUGGGGAUGACGUCAAGUCCUCAUGGCCCUUAUGGGUAGGGCUUCACACGUCAUACAAUGGUCGGGACAGAGGGUCGCCAACCCGCGAGGGGGAGCCAAUCCCAAAAACCCGAUCGUAGUCCGGAUCGCAGUCUGCAACUCGACUGCGUGAAGUCGGAAUCGCUAGUAAUCGCGGAUCAGCAUGUCGCGGUGAAUACGUUCCCGGGUCUUGUACACACCGCCCGUCACACCAUGGGAGUGGGUUUUACCAGAAGUAGUUAGCCUAACCG